rnacentral:rRNA from 1 species
GCAGUCGAGCGAGCAGAACAGCAGAUUUACUUCGGUAAUGACGCUGGGGACGCGAGCGGCGGAUGGGUGAGUAACACGUGGGGAACCUGCCCCAUAGCCUGGGAUACCACUUGGAAACAGGUGCUAAUACCGGAUAAGAAAGCAGAUCGCAUGAUCAGCUUAUAAAAGGCGGCGUAAGCUGUCGCUAUGGGAUGGCCCCGCGGUGCAUUAGCUAGUUGGUAAGGUAACGGCUUACCAAGGCAAUGAUGCAUAGCCGAGUUGAGAGACUGAUCGGCCACAUUGGGACUGAGACACGGCCCAAACUCCUACGGGAGGCAGCAGUAGGGAAUCUUCCACAAUGGACGCAAGUCUGAUGGAGCAACGCCGCGUGAGUGAAGAAGGUUUUCGGAUCGUAAAGCUCUGUUGUUGGUGAAGAAGGAUAGAGGUAGUAACUGGCCUUUAUUUGACGGUAAUCAACCAGAAAGUCACGGCUAACUACGUGCCAGCAGCCGCGGUAAUACGUAGGUGGCAAGCGUUGUCCGGAUUUAUUGGGCGUAAAGCGAGCGCAGGCGGAAGAAUAAGUCUGAUGUGAAAGCCCUCGGCUUAACCGAGGAACUGCAUCGGAAACUGUUUUUCUUGAGUGCAGAAGAGGAGAGUGGAAUUCCAUGUGU